GAUGAACGCUGGCGGCGUGCCUAAUACAUGCAAGUCGAGCGAACAGACGAGGAGCUCGCUCCUCUGACGUUAGCGGCGGACGGGUGAGUAACACGUGGAUAACCUACCUAUAAGACUGGGAUAACUUCGGGAAACCGGAGCUAAUACCGGAUAAUAUAUUGAACCGCAUGGUUCAAUAGUGAAAGACGGUUUUGCUGUCACUUAUAGAUGGAUCCGCGCCGCAUUAGCUAGUUGGUAAGGUAACGGCUUACCAAGGCAACGAUGCGUAGCCGACCUGAGAGGGUGGUAGGCGACACGGGAACGGGGACGCGGACCAGACUCCUACGAGAGGGAGCAGUAGGGAAUCCUCCGCAAUGGUCGAAAGCCUUACGCAGCGACGGCGCGUGAGUGAUGAAGGUCUUCGGAUCGUAAAACCCUGUUAUUAGGGAAGAACAAAUGUGUAAGUAACAAUGCACGUCUUGACGGUACCUAAUCAGAAAGCAACGGCUAACUACGUG
rnacentral:rRNA from 1 species